AACACAUGCAAGUCGAACGCUCCUGAGGGCUUCGGCCCUCUGGGGAGUGGCGCACGGGUGAGUAGCGCGUGGGAACCUGCCCUGUUGUGGGGGAUAACCGAGGGAAACUUCGGCUAAUACCGCAUGCGCCCGCUGGAGCAAUCUGGCGGGGAAAGAUUUAUCGCAGCAGGAGGGGCCCGCGUCGGAUUAGCUUGUUGGUGGGGUAACGGCCUACCAAGGCUAUGAUCCGUAGCUGGUCUGAGAGGAUGAUCAGCCACACUGGGACUGAGACACGGCCCAGACUCCUACGGGAGGCAGCAGUGGGGAAUAUUGGACAAUGGGCGAAAGCCUGAUCCAGCAAUGCCGCGUGAGUGAGGAAGGCCUUAGGGUUGUAAAGCUCUUUCGGCGGGGACGAUNAUGACGGUACCCGCAGAAGAAGCCCCGGCU
rnacentral:rRNA from 1 species